GUGAUAGUACACCACUUCACCUUUUUCCAUGUUUGGUCCAGGAUUAGGGUUCACCACAUCCCACAGUUGGUGAUGGAGCCAAUAGCACAGCAUUCUUCAUGUCGUUCCUAAGGGAGAGAACUGCAACACCAGUUGCUGCAGGUUGCGUUGGAACUGUGGAAAGGAGUUGCUUGUUUCUGCCGCGGUGGUGGUUGUGAUUCUUGAGAAGCGUUGUUGUGGUAAUGAGGCUGUUGAGUAGCAGGUCACAUCUACUCCUUCCUUUGGGUUUAUGGCUUCUUUCACAAGUGGGUAGCAAACAUUUGGAACAAUGUUGAGUGGUAUGUGCGACUUUUUUGCAAGUAUUAGUUCCGGCAGUCUUCCUCUCGUAGCAAUUUUGUGACAUGUAUUUUUUUCUAUGGUGGGCUAUGGGCUGAAAAUGUUGUACAAAACAAGUCGUGCAUGCUCUGUUAGUCAUACUUGUAACCCAGUCAAAUCAUCAGUGGAUUGAACACUUUUCUAUUUUAUUUACAGUUUUUCAAUUGAUGUACUGAAAAGCAGUGGUGUAUAAUAUUUCUGGUGAAGGAGUUAGAUGGAGCAAUUGUCGUUGUAGAAAGAGAUCCAGCUUGAUGUAAUUUUGGUUGCACUGAGAUUGAGCGUCGUAAAAAACGAACUGCUUAUGCACUGAGUCAGGCGAACUCCUCAGCUUCUAAUUCAAUGCCUUUGUAGAGGUUGUGUAUGUAGUUUUGAUCAUAUUUUGGAUCCAAUGUUUGUCACGUUUUCCCAUGCUAGCAGUUCUCAUUCUGCUAUCCAUGAAUUUUCUCAAAGUUAACAGGUACAAUCGAUUCUUCGAGGAGUUCAAAGUUGCUGCUGAGAGGGAUGAUAAUUGUCAACUUCUCGACACUCUGUUCGCAAGCUGAUAUGACGAUUGCAGUGAUUGUCCGAGGGUGGCUGCUGAGCAGCUUAGAUCCUUAAUUGACUUCACUAUCUACGACUGUGCAGAAAAGAAUUGCUGGAGCAUUGAAGAAAGUAGGUUCGAAAGAACAAGUAAUGAUUCUAGUGUUCCUCAUGGUCCUCUUCAUGAUUCUUACUCCACUUGUGUUUCCAGGUUAUUUCCGUCUUCGUUUCUACAAAGGACGGCAGUCCGAACAUGUCACUGAUUGCUCUAAAUCAUUUAAUUGUUAGUCGAAAUUUCCGAAUUAAAAGACAGUAUUCUUAUUUUCAUUA